AUGGGCAGCGAUCUAAAUGGUGCAAGAAAAAGACAUAGGCAUUCCUACGAAUCCUACCGGGGAACAAAUUUUAAGAAAACCAGAGCAAAGGUUCAGUUUGCAGACCUUUCUGAGGAUCUACUGUCUACGAUUCUAUCAAAACUACCGUUAAAGGACGCUGUAAGGACUGGCAUUCUAUCAAGUAAAUGGAAAGAUAGGUGGAAGAUAUGCCCCAAACUAAGAUUUGAUGUUCUCACAGUGUCCAACGAUGUGUUUUAUCAGCGACAACACACUCAGAAAUUCAUUAAGACUGUUAAUGCAGUCAUGCAACAACAUCAGGGCACAUUUGUUGAAGAGCUCAUGAUCAAAUUUGGAUAUGACAACAGGCUAGUGAAUCAUAUCAAUACUUGGGUUGCUUUUGCUGUAUCGGCCCAGACAAAGAGUCUUGCCCUUGAUUUACCUCCACGCGAUUUGCUGGUACCGCAAGCGGAUCAAUACAGAUUUCCUGUUAAUCUUUUAGAUAACAGAAGCAUAUUUUGGCUUCGUCAUCUGCAACUUAGUUUUGCAUCAUUUUAA
rnacentral:rRNA from 1 species